UACGAGAGGCCCAAACGUUAUUCGGAAUUACUGGGCUUAAAGAGUUCGUAGGCGGCAUUGCAAGUAGGGUGUGAAAGCCCUCGGCUCAACCGAGGAAUUGCGCUCUAAACUGCAGUGCUUGAGGAACCUAGAGGUGAGCAGAACAGAUGGUGGAGCGGUGAAAUGCGUUGAUAUCAUCUGGAAUACCGGAGGCGAAGGCGGCUCACUGGGAGUUUUCUGACGCUGAGGAACGAAAGCCAGGGUAGCCAACGGG
rnacentral:rRNA from 1 species